UAUAUCAAUUUGUACAGCAUGCAAUGAAACCGCAAACCUAAUCAAUUCGAGGUAUACUAACUUGACAUGCUUGUUUGAGGAAGCUGCUGGGGAUGGCUUGGAAGAGUGCCAAAAAAAAAGAUCAGAUGAAGGCAUCGAAGCAUACUGUCUGGAUGAGAGUUGCUAUUUUGUUGAGGAAGCCUACAACAAGUGCGGGUUUGCUUGGCAUGAGUGUAAUCCUGUUCGAGAGACUUGCAAUAAGCAUUUCAAAUCUAGUUCUGUGCUGCAUCAACAAUGCAGCAGUGGAGGAAAACCAGUCACUACAAUAACAGUUGUCAUGAUUCUGGUCAUUUGCUCCGUGCUCAUGAUUUAAGGAUAUGCAUGCCCAAACUUUGGAAGAACAGUUCAAAAUUACUGUAACAAUAAUUAUAUCUUAGCAUUGUGCAUGCAUCAAGAACUAUAGUAUAGACAAU